rnacentral:tRNA from 1 species
GAGGGUAUAGCUCAGUGGUAGAAUGUGUGCUUAACAUGCAUGAGGUCCUGGGUUCAAUCCCUAGUACCUCCA